rnacentral:rRNA from 1 species
GGGGAAUAUUGGGCAAUGGGCGCAAGCCUGACCCAGCAACGCCGCGUGAAGGAAGAAGGCUUUCGGGUUGUAAACUUCUUUUCUCAGGGACGAAGAAAGUGACGGUACCUGAGGAAUAAGCCACGGCUAACUACGUGCCAGCAGCCGCGGUAAUACGUAGGUGGCAAGCGUUAUCCGGAUUUACUGGGUGUAAAGGGCGUGUAGGCGGGAAAGCAAGUCAGGCGUGAAAACCAGGGGCUCAACCCCUGGCCUGCGUUUGAAACUGUUUUUCUUGAGUGUCGGAGAGGUAAUCGGAAUUCCGUGUGUAGCGGUGAAAUGCGUAGAUAUACGGAGGAACACCAGUGGCGAAGGCGGAUUACUGGACGAUAACUGACGCUGAGGCGCGAAAGCGUGGGGAGCAAAC